CCACUUGUGAAUUGUAAAAAUACCAAACAGUUUAAUCAAUGUCUCCUUUUCUCCUUUCCUGUCAAGAAUACCAACAAUAUUAGUAGACUUUACAAAUUUCUACAAGUGUGACUCUGCAAUAAAAACUAAGUUAUACAAUACUUUUAUGUCUUUUUUAAGUCCUUUAAUUGUCUGCAUUCUUCCUUUAUCACUUGUAUCCAUCAUAAUUAGAUAAAUUGGCUACUUUCGAGGCAUUGUAGAAGAAAAACUGCUACUUCAGGACCCAUACCCACCGGUAAUAGUAAUAGGCUGUUUCUUUUCCAACAUUAUGUCUAUUUUAAACUUAUCAUCUUUACUUCUUUCUUUUUAUAUUUCUUAACGAGUUCAAAUUACAUUACUGGAUUAUAAUUGUCUGUAGUCUGAAUUGAAACAAACAUAUGACUAGUAAUUAAGAGUCCAUUAGAAUCUAAUAAAAUUUAUUAAA
rnacentral:lncRNA from 1 species